rnacentral:lncRNA from 1 species
CAUAACCUGGCGGUGAGCUUCGUGAUCCCCACUGACGGCCCACCUUCAAAAGCCCAAAAGGCAGUUCUGGAGGCCCUUCCGGACUCAAUUUCCCACACCUUCCUCCCUCCGGUCAAUCUCUCCGACUUCCCGCCGGACACCAAAAUCGAAACCCUGAUCUCCCACACCGUCCUCCGCUCCCUUCCUUCCCUCCGCCAAGCAUUCCACUCCCUCUCCGCCACAAACACCCUCUCCGCCGUCGUCGUAGACCUCUUCUCCACCGACGCCUUCGACGUCGCCGCCGAAUUCAAUGCCUCCCCCUACGUCUUCUAUCCCUCCACUGCCACCGUCCUCUCCUUGUUCUUCCACCUCCCCACCCUCGACCAGCAGGUCCAGUGCGAGUUCCGAGACCUCCCAGAACCGGUCAGCAUCCCCGGUUGCAUUCCUCUUCCCGGCAAGGACCUGUU